rfam:Actinomyces nasicola strain DSM 19116 Scaffold60, whole genome shotgun sequence.
GGUGGCCCCCACGUGACGUUAUCUCACCCAACUCCCCCAGGGCAGGAAUGCAGCAAGGGUAAGUGAGCUCUGGCGGGUGCGUGGGGGUCCUUCAU